UGUGGGAGCGAGCUUGCUCGCGAUAGCGGUAUUUCAGUCACAUCAAUAUCAAUGGGUCUGACGCUAUCGCGAGCAAGCUCGCUCCCACA
rnacentral:misc_RNA from 1 species